UAUAAAAGACAACGUUUAACUGGGGCU
rnacentral:piRNA from 1 species